ACAAGUUGUUGUUGGCCAACCACGAGCCAAGCGAUGGAAACAUCCCAGCCCUAAGCACAGUGUUUUCUAUUGUCAAGUUAUCAGGAGCUCGAUCUCAUUGAUCCCAAAAAGCUAAAGACACCGAUACCUACAAUCAGAAAUGGCUCUCUCUCUACGACCACAAGACCACAAGAGGCCCUCUCUCUAACCACCACUGAAGGAUCUUCUAGUGAGACCGCGUCUCUCUCUCUCAUUUUUAUUUUUUUUUCUCUUGUUACAUGUGGGGAGCAGCAAGAUGCAAGCCCAUGCAAAUCACUCUUCUAUUUGACCAUGCAAAUAACCUACCAAUAGAUGAACGGACCUAUGAAGAAUGAAGAACUUUCGGCACCUGCAAAUAAAAAAAAGCUCGAACCCUCCCUCCAUCUCAAUCCCAAUUAAAGCCGAAAUCUUCUCUUCAUCUCAAUCCAUCCCAAUUAAAGCCGAAAUCUUCUCUCCAUCUCAAUCCAUCAAGAUUGCAACAAAUGAAUCUCCAAUUCAAAUCAGGUGCCGAUUGUUGCAAGCUUGUAGAACAUUGUCAACUAUGUUCAAGCAGUUAACAACAGCCGAAUUGAUUUUGAGAAUUAGUUACCAAGAAUUGGUGACUGAAGUAGUAUUACUUUUAAGUACUUAAGCAAGAGUACAUAUUAUGGGAAGCAAGCAAUCCACAAGCCUGCAAAGGCACAAAUCUGCGCAGUUUGGUUGCGCAUCUUCCUCGUCAUGGGGCUCUAUGGAAUUUCAUAAACAAAUACGAAUGGAAACUCAGAGGGAUAGUCAUAAUCGACAAAAAGGAGUGGAGCCCCAAAUUAGAUAUCCAUAUCAAAUCUGAUGGCUACACCAACUACUCUCUAGACAAUCUAAUUUAUAGCAUGCAAAUAAUCACACCAGUUGUAAAUGGUUUGAGAGUUCAUUGGAGUUGAAGUUCAUUGUAAUCGGAUUAUCCUGUACUUUACAUUUUCAAUACCAUUUUUGUACUCUGUUUCCUAGACUUUGAGAAACUGAUCAAGCGCCCAUAGUUUUGAUUA